GAAGAUUUCGAAGGCACUUAUUGUGGUGGGAACGCGCAUGGGCAGGACGGUGUAACCGUCCGGCGUUAGCCACCCAUGCGCGGAAAGACAGGCUCCUAAGGGGCCUUUUUUUAUGCCUUGUU
rnacentral:sRNA from 1 species